AGCAGCCGCGGUAAUUCCAGCUACAAUAGCGUAUAUUAAAGUUGUUGCAGUUAAAAAGCUCGUAGUUGAAUUUCGGGGUUAGUAGGUUGGUCAUGCCUCUGGUAUGUACUGGUCUCACUGAUUCCUCCUUCCUGAUGAACCUUAAUCCCAUUAAUUUGGUGUUUUGGGGAAUUUGGACUGUUACUUUGAAAAAAUUAGAGUGUUUAAAGCAAGCUAACGCUUGAAUACAUUAGCAUGGAAUAAUGAAAUAGGACGUUCGAUCCUAUUUUGUUGGUUUCUAGGAUUGACGUAAUGAUUAAUAGGGAUAGUUGGGGGCAUUAGUAUUCAAUUGUCAGAGGUGAAAUUCUUGGAUUUAUUGAAGACUAACUACUGCGAAAGCAUUUGCCAAGGAUGUUUUCAUUAAUCAAGAACGAAAGUUAGGGGAUCGAAGACGAUCAGAUACCGUCGUAGUCUUAACCAUAAACUAUGCCGACUAGGGAUCGGAUGAUGUUAAUUUUUUAAUGACUCAUUCGGCGCCUUA
rnacentral:rRNA from 1 species